rnacentral:rRNA from 1 species
AUUGAACGCUGGCGGCAGGCCUAACACAUGCAAGUCGAGCGAGCGGCGGACGGGUGAGUAAUGUCUGGGAAACUGCCUGAUGGAGGGGGAUAACUACUGGAAACGGUAGCUAAUACCGCAUACACUCAGAUGGGCCCAGAUGGGAUUAGCGAGUAGGUGGGGUAAUGGCUCACCUAGGCGACGAUCCCUAGCUGGUCUAAGAGGUGGACCAGCCACACUGGAACUGAGACACGGUCCAGACUCCUACGGUAGGCAGCAGUAGGGAAUAUUCGGCAAUAGACGCAAGCCUGAUGCAGCCAUUCCGCGUGUGUGAAGAAGGCCUUCGGGUUGUACAGCACUUUCAUCGAGGAGGCGUUACUCGCAGAAGAAGCAACGGCUCACUCCGUGCCAGCAGCCGCGGUAAUUC